rnacentral:misc_RNA from 1 species
CUGCUCUACGAAAGUUGUACCAUGAAAGUCCACGACUCAUAUGUGUGCUAUAUACGUCACCAACUUGUGGUCCAUGUCGGACUUUGAAGCCAAUUCUUAGCAAGGUGAUUGAUGAAUUUGAUCAAAAUGUGCAUUUUGUUGAAAUUGAUAUUGAGGAAGAUCCAGAAAUAGCAGAAGCAGCUGGAAUUAUGGGUACACCAUGUGUGCAGUUCUUCAAGAACAAGGAUAUGCUCAGGACUGUAUCAGGAGUUAAAAUGAAGAAAGAGUACA